CAAUAGCGUAUAUUAAAGUUGUUGCAGUUAAAAAGCUCGUAGUUGGAUCUGUGGUGUGCGGUGGGCUCCGGGCACUUGUUGUCUGAGUAGCUCGCCGCUGCCAUCCUUGGGUGGAACCUGUGUGGCAUUAGGUUGUCGUGCAGGGGAUGCCCAUCGUUUACUGUGAAAAAAUUAGAGUGUUCAAAGCAGGCUUAUGCCGUUGAAUAUAUUAGCAUGGAAUAAUGAGAUAGGACUUUUUCGCUAUUUUGUUGGUUUGCGCGAAGAGGUAAUGAUUAAUAGGGACAGUUGGGGGUAUUCGUAUUCCAUUGUCAGAGGUGAAAUUCUUGGAUUUUUGGAAGACGAGCUACUGCGAAAGCAUUUACCAAGGAUGUUUUCACUAA
rnacentral:rRNA from 1 species